UACGUAGGGUGCGAGCGUUUGUCCGGAAUUAUUGGGCGUAAAGAGCUCGUAGGCGGUGUGUCACGUCGGCCGUGAAAACCUGCAGCUUAACUGUGGGCGUGCGGUCGAUACGGGCAUCACUGGAGUUCGGCAGGGGAGACUGGAAUUCCUGGUGUAGCGGUGAAAUGCGCAGAUAUCAGGAGGAACACCGGUGGCGAAGGCGGGGUCUCUGGGCCGAAACUGACGCUGGAGGAGCGAA
rnacentral:rRNA from 1 species